UUACGGGCACACCAUGUUGAAACACCGGUUCUCGUACGAUCACCGAAGUUAAGCAACACUGAGCCUGGUCAGUACCAAGAUGGGUAUCAGCUUGAAAAUACCAGA